AUUGAACGCUGGCGGCAGGCCUAACACAUGCAAGUCGAACGAGCGGCGGACGGGUGAGUAAUGUCUGGGAAACUUCCUGAUGGAGGGGGAUAACUACUGGCAACGGUAGCUAAUACCGCAUACCAUCAGAUGUGCCCGGAGGGGAUUAGCUGGUAGGUGGGGUAAAGGAUCACCUAGGCGACGAUCCCUAGCUGGUCUGAGAGGAUGACCAGCCACACUGGAACUGAGACACGGUCCAGACUCCUACGGGAGGCAGCAGUGGGGAAUAUUGCACAAUGGGCGCAAGCCUGAUGCAGCCAUGCCGCGUGUAGGAAGAAGGCCUUCGGGUUGUAAAGUACUUUCAGCGGGGAGGCGUUACCCGCAGAAGAAGCACCGGCUAACUCCGUGCCAGCAGCCGCGGUAAUUC
rnacentral:rRNA from 1 species